rnacentral:rRNA from 1 species
CCUACGGGGGGCAGCAGUGAGGAAUAUUGGUCAAUGGUCGGGAGACUGAACCAGCCAAGCCGCGUGAGGGAUGAAGGUACAGAGUAUCGUAAACCUCUUUUGUCAGGGAACAAAGGCGGGGACGUGUCCCCGGAUGAGUGUACCUGAAGAAAAAGCAUCGGCUAACUCCGUGCCAGCAGCCGCGGUAAUACGGAGGAUGCGAGCGUUAUCCGGAUUUAUUGGGUUUAAAGGGUGCGCAGGCGGUUUGUUAAGUCAGCGGUAAAAUUGAGAGGGUCAACCUCUUCGAGCCGUUGAAAAUGGUUUUU